rnacentral:rRNA from 1 species
AUUGAACGCUGGCGGCAUGCCUUACACAUGCAAGUCGAACGGUAACGCGGGGCAACCUGGCGACGAGUGGCGAACGGGUGAGUAAUGCAUCGGAACGUGCCCAGUUGUGGGGGAUAACUGCUCGAAAGAGCAGCUAAUACCGCAUACGACCUGAGGGUGAAAGCGGGGGAUCGCAAGACCUCGCGCAAUUGGAGCGGCCGAUGUCGGAUUAGCUAGUUGGUGGGGUAAAGGCCCACCAAGGCGACGAUCCGUAGCUGGUCUGAGAGGACGACCAGCCACACUGGGACUGAGACACGGCCCAGACUCCUACGGGAGGCAGCAGUGGGGAAUUUUGGACAAUGGACGCAAGUCUGAUCCAGCCAUGCCGCGUGCGGGAAGAAGGCCUUCGGGUUGUAAACCGCUUUUGUCAGGGAAGAAAUCUUCUGGGUUAAUACCUCGGGAGGAUGACGGUACCUGAAGAAUAAGCACCGGCUAACUACGUGCCAGCAGCCGCCGUAAUAC